UGUAUCUAGUGUUGUGAUUUGUGGAUUGUGGAAGGGAAGGGCUGUGGCUGCUGGUUGGGUGUUUACUUGUAAUUCAGCGUCUGAAUUCAUAUCGAAAUAAUAAUAUUUUUAUGUAUCGUAGUGUUUUAGUAUUUCACUUUUAAGUAUAACUGAAAAUUUUUACUUAAUUUCUUUGUGUUUCCAUUAUAAGAGCUGUGAUAAUGUCAGUAAUUGAAAUGAGCAACAUUUUGCCUGGUGUUAAUGAUGCUUACAUAGUUGUAAUUUUAAGUAUGAUUCUAUUUUUCUGUAAUAACAUUUGGAUUUUAAAACUUAUAGUUCCUACUAGUGCAAGGACUUCACAGCGUCAAGAAUGGAAGUGGAGGAAUAUUGCAAAUUCAUUGAUCCAUUCAAUGAUUACGGGUUGUGGAGCUUGUGUUUGCUUUUAUCAGAGUCCAGAGAUUCGGAAAGACUUGAUUUCGAAAUGGACUAUUUCAAGUCAUUGUUUACUCGCAAUAUCUACAGGUUACUUUAUAUAUGACAUGUUUGACAUGCUUCUCAACGACCCUAAGUCAAAAACCUUUGAACUUCUAGUACAUCAUAUGCUGGUUAUAAGCUGCUUCACCACUGCCAUUACUACGUACAACUAUGAAGGCUACGCUAUAAUGGCCUUGUUAGUGGAAGUUAACAGCGUGUUCCUUCACAUCCGACAGUUGAUGAUCAUUCAGAACUGGAAUCGUAAGACCCUUUCCUACCGCCUCAACAGCUCUCUAAAUCUUGGUACUUUUGUUGUAUUCCGUAUCCUCACCAUGGGAUGGAUGACUCGUUGGUUGAUCCAGCAUCGUUACGAUCUGACUCCAUUUGCAUUCAACCUCGCAGGCAUAUCUCUGGCCGUGAUAAUGGUGAUGAAUAUUGUUUUGCUGCUGAGGGUGCUGAAGUCUGACUACCAACAGCGGCCGACCCAGCACAACCCAGACCUCCAGGUGCUGCACACCAAGGCUAGUUAAGCCCCACCACUCUCGCCGUGAUCUCGCAGAGUUCCGAGUACGGGUUCAGCAAGUGAAUCUCGUUUCGGAAACUCUCUAAAACACUGUAGUCCUAGUGAUUUAGAAAAAAGGCGUUGCACAAUAUUGGCCUUCCUUGUAAUUUAAUGGUGCAAACUCACUAGUGUUUUAAGCGUUCAAUACCUUAUUGGUAAAUUUGACACUACGAUCAUCUAGAAUAGAUACACAAUCGUAUUUUUGCAUAUUAGAAUAGUGAUCACGGGCGUGAUAGCCUCAGCCACCGAUAGUUUUGUUUCACCCCUAUUGUGUGUCGAGGCCUGAUGAGAUUUGUAGAUAUUUCUAAAAUUAAAUCUCGCAAUAAAGAUUUUUUACAAAAACUGACACAAAAAUGUUAUAGUAUUACUAGACGUCAAGAGCAAAUUUGUAGGAAUAUUUUUUAAGUGAUCCAAUAGAUGAUUGGAUUAGUUUGUAUUCAUUUUAGAGUUGUCCUUAGAACGUUUGCUUGUUUGUUUAUAACAUUAGAGCCGAGUAAAUGUUUUGUUGUUCAUAAAUAAUACAAAGUGAUUGAUGACUAACAACUGUUAUGUGACGAAGUGUUGCUUUCACCACUGUAUAUAGUAUAUAAAGUUGUUGCUUUUUAUGUGAAAUCAGUAAACCAAUAUAGUAUUUAUUUAUUUGCCAAACAGCUUUAAGUUCUCUUUUUGGCUUACUAAAACUAAAUACACAGCUAAUCUAUUAAGUUGGUCUGACAACAACAAUAAACAUCAUAAUUUCAUUUAUUGUUGACUCAUUUAUACAGUUAAUGAUAAAGCAGUGAAGAGUGUGAUGAGAAUUCUGGGUUUCUAAAGUAUUAAUGUGCUUAUGAAUGUAUCCAUGAACCAGUAUUAAUAUUUAAAAUGGAAAAUAUAAUUUAAAGCAUAAGCCCAACUUUGGAUUAUAGUUUAUGUCUUCAAAAUUAAUAAACACACCCUUCUCAUUAAUAGAAUCCUGAAAGAAAACGUAGAACUAACUAAUUGAACCAAACUUUCAAUUAGAGAUAAAUUACUGCCAUAAAUUUACACUCGUUUUCAUAUUUGCCAAUUGUUGAUUUUUCUGCGUUUUUAUCAGUAGAUUUGAGAUUAGAAGUAUAUUAGGAGGUAGGUGUUGGGAUAUUUACUCUAAGAAAAACCAGUGUACACUGCCUCCUAAUUUACCACUUAGUACAAAUAUUUGUUGUGUGCAAUUAAAAAUUGUAAUAAUGCAAUUAUCAAUACUGAGGAAUUAGGAUUCCAAGCUGUCUUUUCAGUUCUUUUUCUUUUUUUUCAAAAGCUGUGAAAGGAACCAUAUAAAAAAGUAAGUAGUAGAAACUGAGUAAGCUAUUUUUUAUUUUAUUUGCAUUAUAAAUUAAAACGGGUGCAUUUGCCUGUUGACUCUGUCAGAACGGUUGAGUUCCCUUUACAUAAUUAAUAAUUGUCCUCAUACAUUUUUGCACUAUCAGUGACAUUUACAUUCUAAGUAUUUUUAAGGUAGGUUAAUUAAUUUGCAAGUGUCUAAACAAAUGUGAAAUCUAAAAGUGUCUCUUACCAAGUGUUAAGACAAUUGGCCUUCUAGAUUUUAGAAGAGACCUCCCUCGAGAUUUAUUAUGUUUUGCUCUCUUGCAACAUGUUUUGUUCAAUCAUAGUUAGUUCAUGAUUCUCAUUAUCAUCAUAUAUAUUACCUGCAGGUGAAAAUGCUCAUUUCUUGUUUGCUGUAGGAAAUGAAGACAGAUGUGUGAUACUACACAAACAAAAUUAUUGCUAGUUACAUUAUUUGAUAAACACGUCCCACCUAUUUAUAGAGGCUAAGUGAAACUGAUAAUUUCACAAGUUGAUUAUGUUUUCGAUCUUUAAUGAAAUAACAUUGAUUUGUGUUUAACUUUUUAUUUUCUAUCCAUAUUUACCCUUGUCAACCAAGGAAAAAGGUGUUUUCUUGUGUAUGCACUGUGGCAAAUCAAAAAUCAAUAUGGGAUGUCAUUAUUCCUAGGUGAAGAUUGGAUGGACAGAAUGAACAGAUGCAAUUUUGAUAAUACGCACACUAGGCUGGAAUGAGCAUACGAAAUACACACACUUUCAUAAAGCAGGGACUGUGGGAGCUGAGCUUUGUGGUUAAUCGUGUAUAUUUGCUUUGACCACUUUUUAGAAAAGAUCUUUUGUUGUUAAGAAAUAUUGUAUUUUGAAAACACUAUUUUUAUAUAAGUUCAGCUCCAUUUCAUCUUCCACUAAAUGCAGCAUCUGAAAUAUGACACUGUCACAGACAACAUUUAUGACUCUUCUCCUUUAUCUCUUUGUAAUUUCUGUGUACUUUUUAACUAAAACUAAAGACUGUUGAAAUCUUUGAACAAUAAAAAAUAACAAUAAACAUUAUCGUCCAUAAAUGCUUGAAGUUUAUCAUCUCUGUUAUUGAGACAUAGGUACUACAGUAGGGACCACCAGAAAGUGCAGUUGAGGGAGGAGCCUAUUUGGCACGUGACCUUGGAGUAGCCAACGAGGACUGAACAACGUUGCCAAAUUUGUCCCCUGCUGCACCGUGCCAGGCGGCAGUUGAUGAGUUGUCGCACAAGCCUGUCCAUUCUAUUGGUCACAGCCAAGUGCAUUCUUUCAUGACCCCUACUGUAGUUGUCCAGUGCUGUCCAUCCAGUCCAAGUACAUUAGGUCCUAUUAUAUUAAUUUUUUUAUUGCUAUGACGCCUGCACGCUAGGCCUAAAAGUUCAUCAAUUUAGAAAUAAAAAACCCAGUGAAAAAUUAAAAUCAGCAUAAAUAUGUGUAUUGUAAGUACUAUUGGAUAUGCAAGAGUAUUACAUACUCCUAUCUACAAAUUUGGCAAAUUUCUAAAUUUAUGUGCUGUAAAUAAAUGUUAUUUCUGAUUUAACUACAGUAGUAAAAAUAUUAUAGGUUUUUGAUUUGAUUAACGCAAAUCAUAUACAUCAGAUGAUUUGAUGUGAAUGCAAAAAUAACAAAACACUAGUUUACACAAUCAAAAUUGCAUGCUUUAUGUUUGUUUUUGAUGAGGAUUAGGGUACUAGGAAUAAAUGUUGUGGAAUUAAGCACAAUUAAGCUGAUCAUGCACAAGAGUUCAAAUCAAAUGUAAAUGACAAAUUGUAUAAACUAUAGAGUUACAGAAGCUCCUAUUUAUGAGUUGUAUUUUUUAAUGUAACAAAUUAUUUUUAUUUAGCAGCAAUAUAUUUGUUCAAUACCAAAGAAUUUUUACAUUGAAAAUAACUAGAUAUUUGUAUAUUUUAUAGAAAACUAUUAGUAUUUUAUUUUAUUUGUUAAAUACGAGAUGAGUUUAGAUAUAAAUUUUAUAUGCCUAUUAGAGGUUAAAAUUGUUUGUUGUAAGAGUACAAUUUUAUGCUUAAUUAAAUGCUAUAAAUAUUUCCUUUAAGUGAAAUUAAUUAUUUUUUUGCUUUGCUUUAAAUCCUUUUGUUAUUUAAAUAACAAUCUGCUAUAUUCGGAUUGCAUAAAAGUAGACAUUUCAGGCUAUUCAUCUCACAGGUGUUUGAAAACUGGAAAGAAAUUAUUGUUUGUUCAAUUAACAUAAUACAUUAUCACAAAAUCUGCACAUUUCACUCAAUAGCCUAAAACAAGAGGAUUUUAAUGUCUACUUUUGUGAACUUAUGUACACACUGGUGUAUUAAACUCCAGAACUGCUGAAAUUGAAUAAGAUGUUUCAGAGAUUAUACAAGUUUUUAGAUAAAAAUGUUUUAAGUGUAGUUUAUUGAUAAAGAGAAGCUGUAGUAAGAUUUAAGUAAGUAACAAAAUAUCCAUAGGUGGAACGACCAUGUUGCAUAUUCAUAUUGAUAGACUGGCAAAUUAAAAAAAAACUAUAAAAAUCAGAAAACUAUCAGUGAGACCACUAGAAAAUUGUGUGUACGAAUGUAUAUAUAUAUAUAUAUAUAUAUAUAUAUAUUUUAAGAAGAGGUCUAUCCUCUUUAAGCCUUAUUCUUCUUGUCCUCAUGGGCCAUUGGCCUGUGCAAUCAGGCAGAAUAAGGAGAAGAGUUGAUACAGUAUAAGGUUGAUGGUACUGAUAAAAAGUGCUACAAUAGCAGACAAGAUUUGAACCUGCGCUAUCUCUAAAUCAGAUCCAAAGUCUGACGUCAUAGACCGCUCGGCCAUCGGCACUCCUAAGAUGUAUGAAAAUAAAAUCAGGUCUGUUAUAAAAGCUGGUAAAUCCUUUGGACAUUUUGUAUUGUUAAACACAUACAACGUUUUGAGAUCUUCAAUCUGAUCUUUUACUCAUGUAACAAACCUGACAUUUAAAUUACGAACUAGGUUUAAGUGAACACAUUAUAUGAGGAUGAGUCUUAUUUAAGCAGACUUUAAAAUUUACUUUCCUUAGUGGAGUGUCAAGGUCAAUGUGCUAGAAGUUUGGAGAAAGCCUGCAAGAGGUUACAUUCUUUGUUUUGCAUAAUUUUAUAAAGUAUUUAACUAACAAAUAUGUUAAUCCUGUUAAAAUUUUGACUUGGAGGCGCUUUGGCACACUGUGCUUGCCAAUUUUACCCAUUGGGAAAAUGUUACAAGCUAUGUUUUUUUACGUAACACAAAGCCAAUAAAAAGGUUCUGUACAACAUCAACACAACGAGGAAUCCGUCAUAGCAGUCUGCGUUUAUGUUGUUGACAGAAAGUACUUAAGAGUAAUAACAGGUGAUAACAAAUAAAGCUUAUUUUGGGAGGACUGCUCAUACUGCAAAUUAUGUACUAUUAGUCCUAGUGAAAUUGGACAAAACUGAAAUUUUAGAAAUUGAAAUUGAAAAAAUCAUCACAAAUUUUUUAUUUAAAAGAAAAAAGUUAUAGUUUGUUUAUCAUACAAUCCUACUUUGCAUUUUUAACCGGGUACGUGUAACGUCUGUCUGUUAGUGGAGUUACAGUCUAAAAACUAAUGUGAUAUUUGAAAGGAAAAUAUUUUAUAAAAGAGGUUUGAAAAUUCAAAAGCUGAAUUCAUGGAUUUUUGCCAUUGUGCCUAGACAAGUGUACACAUGCAUUGUCUUGAACAGCACUUCUUUGCCAAAUGCGGCUGUUUUUGUUUCAAAUCAAUGUUGAAUCUUUUCAAAAGUUCUGAAUAAUAUUCGCAGGUGAUCGUUUUACCCUUCUCAAGGUAAUCAAUGUGAAUGACACCCCGUGCACCUAAAAAAACUGCGACCAUGACCUUGUUGACUGACAGACUCACAUUGGCUUUCUUUGGUCCACAUUUACCCCGAGCAACUGUUUUGAUUGUCCCUUGUCUCUGGCAUGUUGUGAUGGAUCCACGUUUCAUCCACAGUUACAAAUCGGCGCCAAAACUCAUCUGGAUUACCACUGAACAUCGAUAAACACUCUUUUGAAGUGGUCACAUGGUUGUGUUUAUGGUGGAGUGUGAGUAAUCGUAGCAGUUACUUUAAAGUUACUGCGCGGGAAAUUCAAAAAGUCACUGACUUAUCAAACUGUCCUCAUAUCAAGGUUCCACUUUAUUUACAUUUAGAAGGAUAGAGGCAAACAUAUUCUGAUAUUGAACACUUUUCUGUCGCUAAGACUUUUCAUCUAAAUUAAGUAAGUGGUGAACUUUAUUACAGGUAUAAGAAGAUAAAACGGUUUGGAAUAUUGAAAUUCUGUCUGUGGUGUAGAUUUAUAAUACUACUUAUCUUAUAUUAGUAUUCAUGUAUUAUUAUUGUUAUUUUAUGUUUCCUAUUUAUACAUAUUUAGUUAAUGUUGUGUUCAGUAAAGUUUUGUAUGACAAAUAUUUACCUUCUGUAUUCAUUUCUAUAUGUAUUAAUUUUAUACAUUCAUUGUGUUAACACAGUAAAUAGAAAUAACUUGUUUCUCAAAUGUGCAAAAGUUGAAACUGCUUUAUCUACUUUUUAGAACAGCGUUAUGCUAUUGUCUUGGGUGUUGUCAUUUUUGCUAUUCUUAAAAUUUGUACUUUCUUCUUAAAUAUUCGUGAACACGAUCAAACCCUCAUUUUUAUUUUUAGAUAAGGUGAAAAAGAUUGGAAAGUCAAUUUACUAGGGGCGGUUAAUUUUUUUUCUCUAAAAGUUGUUAUAUGUAUUUCCUAUUAAUGAAAAAUCAGCCGAUCACAACAAAAAUGUUUCAGAAGAAAUAUUCUUUAACAAAUGUUACUACAUUCCCAAGAAAAAUGUUGGCAUUCACAUUGUCAGUUUAUUUUAAGCAGGAUCCCUAUUCCUUUCAUGCCACAUCUUGAUCAAAUACAUUUGUGAACUGUGAUGCUCCAAAUUUGUUGACAGAUUUUUAAAGUAAAUACAAAAAAUUAUUGUAUAUUUUAUGUUUUAAAAGUUAGAAUCGUCCAGUUUUUCACAUUAGAGAUUUAAAAUUAUUCAGUAUUUCAAAAGUUUGAGUAAACCAAGUUUCACUGUAAAGCAUGGCUGCAUAUUCCGUGUCGGAGCAAAUCACAACUUCAAACCAACCUUUUUAUAACUUUUGAAGUAAAGAAAGGAAUGUUACUUGGCACUCAGCCUAAACAAAGUCAUCACUCCUUUCAAAUAAUUAAUGAUCCAUGUCGUAGUGUGCUAUUUGUUGUGCUCUCGAUAAAUCAAUCUCUCAACCAAUCAAUUGUAUUUGUGCUCACAAUAAUAAUCACUCAAAUAAUCUGUAUUCUACGAGGCACGUCCAGAAAGUAAAUGUACUGGUACUCUCACAGCUGUAGAGAAUACUUUUUUGACAUGUUGGCAACACUGCGGCGUAGCUAGAAUCCUCCCCUUCAAAAUGAGACCAAUCCGAGGUUAGUGUGUUAAAAACUCUUGACGCAGUAGCAUCUCUCGCGAAAAAUGUCAAUCGUAUUUCUCGCCUAGUGCGAAAUUCGCGCCGUCACUACGCGGCAGUGUUGCCAACAUGUCGAAAAAGUAUUCCCUACAGCUGUGAGAGUACCAGUACACUUACUUUCUGGACGUGCCUCGUAUUUGAGUGUUUUAUCUUGGUGCUCUCUAUUAAGCAUUAGUGCUUCCAUCAGACUUUUUCACAAUACGUUUGUACUCUGUGUUGUCUACGUAUUGUGGUUCUAUUUCAAGAAACUACCUCCUACUAUAUAUAAUGGUUUGCUCCAUUUUGAAGAAGCUCAUGUUUGUUGGAACCUCACAAUCAAUGAACCUUAAAUAAAAAAAUAACUUUGUGAAUUGAACACGUAAAAAAAUACUAACUUUGUGAAUUGAAUACGUAAAAAAAUACUAUAGGUAGUGAAUACCAUACGUAAUUACAUUCCACUUGGACAAGAGGCUGUGCAUUGAUUUUUAUAACAUGAAAUUUUAAUUGGAUUAGGUCACUAGAUUAUUAAAAUGUUUUUGUUUCAAAUUAAAGAAAAAUUUAUAAAUCGGAUACAAAUACUAACCUUCCACUUCAGAAUAAAUUUACGUUUUCUCUGUGUUGAAUUUCUGUAAUCCUGUUUGUUCACAAAAUAAGAUGUUGUUGUCCUUACAUUUAUAAUUAUAGGUUGUGAACCAAUAAGAAUAGUUUCAAUCCUUAUGUAAUUAAUUUAAUUAUUUUUGUAUAAACAAACCCCAUUAAAAAGCUUGUCCGUAACCACUGUGUGAACAUGUUUGUAGUGCCAUAGUAUAGUAACCUCUCGCCAAGUGCCCUCGUCAUGUUAAGCUGUGAUAACAAGCACUUAGCUGCAUUCUGUACUAUACAAGUUCUUUUUAUUUCCAUCAGUAAAGUUCUUUUUCCACCUG
rnacentral:misc_RNA from 1 species